GACGAACGCUGGCGGCGUGCUUAACACAUGCAAGUCGAGCGGUAAGGCCCUUUCGGGGGUACACGAGCGGCGAACGGGUGAGUAACACGUGGGUGACCUGCCCUCAGCUCUGGGAUAAGCCUGGGAAACCGGGUCUAAUACCGGAUAUGACUCCAUGACGCAUGUUGUGGGGUGGAAAGCCUUGUGCGGCUGAGGAUGGGCCCGCGGCCUAUCAGCUUGUUGGUGGGGUGAUGGCCUACCAAGGCGACGACGGUAGCCGGCCUGAGAGGGCGACCGGCCACACUAGGGACUGAGACACGGCCCAGACUCCUACGGGAGGCAGCAGUGGGGAAUCUUGCGCAAUGGGCGAAAGCCUGACGCAGCGACGCCGCGUGAGGGAUGACGGCCU
rnacentral:rRNA from 1 species